rnacentral:rRNA from 1 species
AUGGCGGGCUUGCCAGGCAAGCUCACGAGCCUGCUGCUCCCCCUCUUCUUUGCCGUCUGUGUCCUCGGUGAAACAGUCAUGCACCUCAUCACCUUACAAACUUGGCGCCUCGUUUUCGCCAGCACCUUUGCUGAAGUGUACCAUCUGGUCUCCCUCCGCCUCUCUGCCACCUCCAUCAUCGCUUUGGUAUCGUUCUUUGCUGCAUUUGCGAAUAGGUUUGCGCCGUUUGCCGUGGCUCCAUUUGCGCGCUGGGUUAAACGCCUAGAAACCCGGUGUCAGGGAUGGUGGGGCAUUGAUGGCUGGCAAGUCUUCCAGCUAUUUACUGUUGAAGCCUGCUUGGUGGUAUGCUUGUUUCUUCUCAACCAGUGUUCUCCGUCAGCCACUUUGUUUAUUUUUUAA